UACGGAGGGAGCUAGCGUUGUUCGGAUAUACUGGGCGUAAAGCGCACGUAGGCGGCGCAGCAAGUCAGGGGUGAAAUCCCGGGGCUCAACCCCGGAACUGCCCUUGAAACUGCAGUGCUAGAAUCUUGGAGAGGCGAGUGGAAUUCCGAGUGUAGAGGUGAAAUUCGUAGAUAUUCGGAAGAACACCAGUGGCGAAGGCGACUCACUGGACAUGUAUUGACGCUGAGGUGCGAAAGCGUGGGGAGCAAACAGGG
rnacentral:rRNA from 1 species